CGGACGUCGGUGAGUAACGCGUGAGAACCUGUCCUUGGGAGGGGAACAACAGCUGGAAACGGCUGCUAAUACCCCAUAGGCUGAGGAGCAAAAGGAGGAAUCCGCCCAAGGAGGGGCUCGCGUCUGAUUAGCUAGUUGGUGAGGCAAUGGCUUACCAAGGCGACGAUCGGUAGCUGGUCCGAGAGGAUGAUCAGCCACACUGGGACUGAGACACGGCCCAGACUCCUA
rnacentral:rRNA from 1 species